rnacentral:rRNA from 1 species
CACAAGRGACCCAAAUUAACUGUCACACGGCGUAAAGAGUGGUACCAUGCUAUCCUGACAACUAAGAUCAAAAUACAGCUAAGCUGUCAUAAGCCCAAGAUGUAUUUAAAAACACCUCCAAGAUGAUCUUAGCAGCCCCGACUAAUUAAACUCCACGAAAGCUAGGACACAAACUGGGAUUAGAUACCCCACUAUGCCUAGCCCUAAAUCUUGAUACCUUCCAUCACCAAAGUAUCCGCCUGAGAACUACGAGCACAAACGCUUAAAACUCUAAGGACUUGGCGGUGCCCCAGACCCACCUAGAGGAGCCUGUUCUAUAAUCGAUAACCCACGAUGCACCCGACCACUCCUUGCCAAAGCAGCCUAUAUACCGCCGUCGCCAGCUCACCUCGCCUGAAAGAACAACAGUGAGCAUAAUAGCCCCAACCCCGCUAACAAGACAGGUCAAGGUAUAGCCUAUGGGGUGGAAGAAAUGGGCUACAUUUUCUAAAAUAGAUAACCUCACGGAAAGGGACAUGAAAUUGCCCCUGGAAGGCGGAUUUAGCAGUAAGGUGGGACAAUAAAGCCCACUUUAAGCCGGCUCUGAGGUACGUACAUACCGCCCGUCACCCUCCUCACAAGCUACGUAUAACAUAUAACUAAUACCCUUCCCCGGCUGAAGAUGAGGUAAGUCGUAACAA